GCUCAGCUGAAGGGUGCAUGGCCAGGCCCCAGCAGGAUGCUCAGAUUACGGAGGGGUCCCGCCCUGGUCAGUGAGGGAGCCAGUGAUUUACACAACAUUUAGUUACACAGC